AUUUAUUAAUUUGAAUUAAAAUUUACACUCAAUACGUUAAUAUUGCAUACUGGUUUACAAUGUACUUCAAUAUUGAAGUGCAGAUAAUUGCCACUAUUUGCAAUAAGUAGUCAAAUUUUAGCAUAGUGUAAAUAGAAUCUAUAGUUAUUUGCACUUAGUGUAAAUAGCAUAUCACUAAAAAUGCUGCUAUUUGCACUUAGUGUAAAUAGCCGCUGCCAUUAGUUUAUUAGUACGUAGUUGAGAAUGUUGAGAAUGAAAAUCGUUGCUUCAUGCUACAAGUUUUCUUUCGGCAGGUUUGAGGCAGUUUAUGCAAAGCUGUGAAAAGAGCGUGCAUUUUGAAUGACAAAUAAUAUGCUUCGCUAUAAAUGCAACACGACACAAUGCGAUUUGGUUCAGUGAGAAGGCUGUGAUACGCUUAUGAGAUCACUGACUAAAAUCAGGACAGAAAUCAUGCUGACUAUUCUUCUGAUUAUGGCAAUGAUUGGCCAAGGUAAGAAAUGCAUCAUUAGUGCUUUCCAAAUAGAUCCAUUCUUCAUAUAUUGCUGUUUUAGUCCUGAUGGGGCCUAAUAAAAGGCAUGUUCUGUCGGCAUGACUUUAAUAACAGGUCAAUCAUGGGACAGCCUUGGAACCAGCUUCAUAACAAUAUUCCCAGAGAACAUAGCCUUCUACUAUCCGCUUAGUCCAGUGAACGCUCUCAAUAUCACUGCUGUCCUUCCCGACACUGUGGUGGAAGUCUUUAUCUCAGGGCAGUUGCCUUACACAUACACACUACUAGAAGGACAGCCCCUAACUGUGACCUUCUCAGUGGGUAUUGAGGAAUACCAAUUUGGUGAAAUUUCUCAGACUGUCAGAAUCAGCAGCACAAAGAACAUUGUAGUGCAAUCAAUCAGCAAGAAAGGAGACAGUGUGCAAACUAAUGUCAUUCAGCCUCGGAAAAACCUUGGUACCGUUUAUACCAUCCCCUUGCUGAAUUACAGCCAGAUGAUCAAUACUUUUUAUCAAUCAGCAAGAAAUAUCAGCAAGAGAUACAACUCCUUCAGGCUGGUUAUUAUCAACGGAGAAGAUUUGAUUAAUAAUGUCAAAAUUGUAAAAAGGUCUAUAGAAGAGAUUUACACACUCAAUCCGUUCAACGGUCUCCAGCUUCAAACUGACGGGACAGAAACUAAGAUUUAUUCUGAUUAUAGAGUGGCUGUGAUGCUGACCCAUCCUUGUGUAGAGACGGAUGAAUGCAGAUGCAACAUGGUGCUGAACCAACUUUAUCCCGACGUUCAGGAGGAUAGCAGAUUUGUUGUACCCUCAAUACCCAACACCAGCAAAUUUUGGCUACAUGUGACGUCCUCAGUGGAAACCAGUGCCAGUGGUGGGGAUCUAGAAUCGAGUACUGUGGAUGCCUAUUCCUCAAAACUCCUGUCCCUUCCAUCUCUGCAGUUAGGAUCCCAGUUCAUCCACACAUCGAAUCCUGCUUCCUUCAGGCUUGUCAGUCCAGGUAUCAUCAUUGAACCGAUCUCACAAUAUAGGUUCUCUGGGUGCUACCUAGUAACUGUCAGCUCGACAGAUGCCAAGGCCUUAAUCAUUGCAGAAACAUACUACAGGGAUAGUGUGUAUAUAGAUAAUGAUUUGCUUUUAUCCACUGAAUGGAGCACCAUCGCCAAUUCAGUGUACUCAUCGGUGUUAGUGUCUUUUGAUGACACACACGUCAUUUGGCAUCCAUCCACAAAGAUCGGCGUGUAUGUGUUUGAGAAGAGCACAAAUGUGUAUGGAGGCCCGGCUAUAUCUUUGAGCGCAAAGCCAGACCCUUCAGGCUGUGCAGUUGUUCCUCCUGAGUUUGACAUCAUCGUCACGCCUCAAACCUGGCCUGAAUCCCAUCAGUACUGUAAGCUCAUAAGUGACGAGUUAUUCAGUCCCAGCAAUGAAGUGGCCCAAGCGGAGAUGGCCGACAUUCUGAAUAAUGAAGGUAUGAAUGAGAGGCUCUGGAUUGGCGUGCGUCGCAGUCUGAUGACGUUAGAUUGGUAUCGGCAGAAAGGUAAAAGCUCACACAACUUGACAUACACUUGGUGGGGAACCGGAGAGCCAGGUGAUGCUGCGAAGGGCAUGUGUGCUUCGGUAUUCCCAAACCCAAGCAUGGAUUUCCUUUGGGAAACUACAAACUGUUGUACUAAAUUGAAAUCUAUCUGCUACACAAGGGCUCAGUACUUUACCAUCUCAAAAGAGACAGCUAAGCAUUCUAAUGCUUAAAAAAAUGAAGGUUAAUAAUAAAAACUGGCCAGGGAAAACA
ensembl:lncRNA